UACGGAGGGUGCAAGCGUUAUCCGGAUUCACUGGGUUUAAAGGGUAGCGUAGGCGGGCAGGUAAGUUCAGUGGUGAAAUCUCCGGGCUUAAACCCGGAACUGGCCGUUCGAUACUAUCUGUCUUGAAUAUCGUGGAGGUAAGCGGGAAUAUGUCAUGUAGCGGUGAAAUGCUUAGAUAUACAUAGAACACCAAUUGCGAAGGCAGCCCGCUACACGGUUAUUGACACUGAGGCACGAAAGCGUGGGGAUCAAACAGG
rnacentral:rRNA from 1 species